rnacentral:rRNA from 1 species
CGGGUGAGUAACACGUGAGCAACCUACCCUCAACUUUGGGAUAAGCCUCGGAAACGGGGUCUAAUACCGGAUAAUACUGACCGUCUCAUGGUGGUUGGUUGAAAGUUCUGGCGGUUGGGGAUGGGCUCGCGGCCUAUCAGCUUGUUGGUGGGGUAAUGGCCUACCAAGGCGUCGACGGGUAGCCGGCCUGAGAGGGCGACCGGCCACACUGGGACUGAGACACGGCCCAGACUCCUACGGGAGGCAGCAGUGGGGAAUAUUGCGCAAUGGACGAAAGUCUGACGCAGCAACGCCGCGUGAGGGAUGACGGCCUUCGGGUUGUAAACCUCUUUCAGCAGGGACGAAGCGAGAGUGACGGUACCUGCAGAAGAAGGACCGGCCAACUACGUGCCAGCAGCCGCGGUAAUACGUAGGGUCCGAGCGUUGUCCGGAAUUAUUGGGCGUAAAGGGCUCGUAGGCGGUUCGUCACGUCGGGAGUGAAAACUCGGGGCUUAACCCCGAGCCUGCUUCCGAUACGGGCAGACUAGAGGUAGGCAGGGGAGAGCGGAACUCCUGGUGUAGCGGUGGAAUGCGCAGAUAUCAGGAAGAACACCGGUGGCGAAGGCGGCUCUCUGGGCCUUACCUGACGCUGAGGAGCGAAAGCGUGGGUAGCGAACAGGAUUAGAUACCCUGGUAGUCCACGCCGUAAACGUUGGGCGCUAGGUGUGGGGGACAUUCCACGUCCUCCGUGCCGCAGCUAACGCAUU